rnacentral:tRNA from 1 species
AUCUUACAAGUAUAUAAUAUACUAGUUACCGUCAGUAACCCAAAGCAAAGUUUAAGCGUAAGAUU